rnacentral:SRP_RNA from 1 species
ACACCUUGUAUUUGUAUAUGUUUAUAAUCCUUACUACCAGGAUGUCUGGGGCUAGUGAAUCCCUUGAUCUCUGGAGUUCUGAGCUGCACUAUAUAGGGUUAAGCCAAUGGGGCACCCAUACUAAGUCUGACAUCAAUAUGGGAAGUCACCAGACUGCCUAAGGAGGAGUGAACAAACCCAAGUUGGAAAUGGAUCAAGUCAAAGUGUCUGUGCUAAUCAGUAGUGGAGUUGAACCCAUUAGUGGCCGCUGCCUGUCCUGCCUGGGCAAGAUAGGGAGAUCUAGUCUU